UACGGAGGGUGCAAGCGUUGUCCGGAUUUAUUGGGUUUAAAGGGUGCGUAGGCGGCCUUUUAAGUCAGUGGUGAAAGCCCAUAGCUCAACUAUGGAACUGCCAUUGAUACUGAAAGGCUUGAGUACAGACGAGGUUGGCGGAAUGGAUGGUGUAGCGGUGAAAUGCAUAGAUACCAAUCCAGAACUCCGAUUGCGUAGGCAGCUAACUAGGCUGUAACUGACGCUGAGGCACGAAAGCGUGGGGAGCAAACAG
rnacentral:rRNA from 1 species